UCAAAGAACCCUAAACCAGCUUGUGUAGCAUCAAAGAACCCUAAAACAGGCGGUGUCUUUUCCAUUUCCUUUUCUUAGGACAGCCCUUUCUUGCUUGCUAUGGGAGGUUCAAAGGGAAAACUUGAAGUCUGGGACACCUUAUCUGAUGCUGGAAUCUCCGAAAGAUCUGGGAAUUACAUGCAGCAUGUGCAGCCCUCCUCAUCCUGAGACUUAAUUGAUGGUGAAAACAUUGCUUUUCGACAUGGAGAAUGGUGUAAUUAUCAGAGAAUGACUGGCAUUGCUUACUAAAGUAAUGCUUGUUCACUAGUAUAAUUGAAGGUGUAAACAUACUCUCGAGUGCAUAAUCCGGUAACGAGUUGCAAGGCUCUUUUGAAGAGGAAUUGGCAAGUGAACCUCUGCAAGAUCUUUCGAGAGACCAAUUUGCUACAGAUACUCUUGCUAAACAAGCGGCUUCCAGGCUGCUAGGUCUCCAUUCGCUACAGAUACUUCUUGAUUUUCUGGAUUUAAUGCCCUCCUUUGUA